GGGGGUGAUCCGGUUUCGACGGGAUAUGCCGAGGUCAGAUCGCGCGUCGUGGAUCCUCGUUGGCCACGUAAAAAACGAGGGAAAAAAGUAAUUGCCAACAACGAUUACGCUCUUGCCGCCUAAUUAAAGGCCGCAUGUCGAAGCGCCGAUGUCUGCUGAGCGCCUAGGCAUCAUUUAGCAGGCCACGCUUAAGGGGGCUCCUCUCGCUCGCUUAAGGGUGCCGAAUCGAGUGGAUGGUUGGGGAUAAGCCCGUUGGUCGGCGUACCUCAGCCGAGAUUAAAGGCCUAAUACACGCGUAGAAGUUUGGUCAGAGCUGUUUCGGACAGGGGUUCGACUCCCCUCACCUCCAUAU
rnacentral:tmRNA from 1 species